UACGUAGGGUGCAAGCGUUAAUCGGAAUUACUGGGCGUAAAGCGUGCGCAGGCGGUUUUGUAAGUCUGUCGUGAAAUCCCCGGGCUCAACCUGGGAAUUGCGAUGGAGACUGCAAGGCUAGAAUCUGGCAGAGGGGGGUAGAAUUCCACGUGUAGCAGUGAAAUGCGUAGAGAUGUGGAGGAACACCGAUGGCGAAGGCAGCCCCCUGGGUCAAGAUUGACGCUCAUGCACGAAAGGCGUGGGGAGCAAACAGGAU
rnacentral:rRNA from 1 species